UGCGGGAUGGUUAAUGGUUUUUUGUUUCCUUUGCGAUGAUGGGCUGCGUUGGAUACGGAGUAGGUGUAAUGAAUGGGGUAUAGAUGAAUAUGUAAAUUGUAAUUUGAUUCAUGUUUAUGCCAUUUAUUUUGGUGUGUGUAAUGUUUGAUUAGAAUCUUUAGUUUAUUGUGUGAAAUGUAAAGUAUUUUCGUUUAAUUAAUAUUUGUCAAUGUUAGGUAUUUGGUACGGAUUAGAUUUAAUUGUAUAUGUAUGCAGAACUUGUAGGUACUGAAGGUCUGCAGGGAUUGUUUGUAAAUAUCAAUUGAAAUACUUAAUAAUAAAAUAGGAAAUUUAUUCAUCGAAACAGGUAAAAAUGUAUACGAAUACUUUUGAAAGUACCAUAAAAAAUAGCGUCUUGCAUACUGUCACAUUAAAUAAACGAUUAUAUAAAUGUAAUUUGAGUUCUUGUUUGAUUCACUUGCCACACAUUCAGUGCUUCAUAUUCCUCGAUACAAUCGUUCACUUGAUCGGGUUUGAAUCCUUUGCUCGUGCAUCUUUCCAAAAUAUCUGAUACUUUGACCGUUUUCUUGUCACCAGCUAAUUCUCUAAUUAGAUGGAAAAUUCGAUUCAUUGGAUUCUGAAGAGCUGCACCAACUCUAGCACUAAAUCCAGACUUUAUGAUUGGCAGAAAGAUACCUGUAAUAAGUACAUGAUCUCCAGGUAAACACUUUCUGGUUACUUCACCUCGACAAUAAACUGUUAAAGAUCGUGGAAUAUGACCUACAGGAACUUGAUCACUCUAAAACAAUUACACACCACACUGAUCGCAUGUAUAUGUAGCAACAACAAGUAAAGGCAUUACAUCACUACAUCUUGUUACUAUACCUCGUACAGUAACUAAUUUUCCUAUUUUAUCUGCUUUUAUGUCUCUCACUGAAUACUCCUUAGCUGUAUCAAAAUCUUUGAAGUAUACUUCGCUGAAAUAUACAUAAAGCAAGAAAUAAUGAAAGUAUUUGUAAUGAUUGUAAAACAUGUGUAUACUAAAAUUAAAUUAAAUUAAAUAUUCAUAGUACAAGCGUCUCAUGAGUUCUGGGGCAUAUUUAUUUCUUGCAUCACGUUGUUCGCCAAGAUGUCUAUUACGGUUUUCCAUCAGUAAUCUAUGUUCAAUAUAUACAUCC